AUGAAUGAGGACAGGUUGCCUCUCAUGGGGUCGAGCAUAGACCUGACCAAGGUGCCAACUGUUCAACAGAAAAGAAUGAUGGCUUUUCUAAACCAAUUUGUGGUGCACAUGGUACAGUUCUUCAACCACUUUUCUACAGUUUGUGAGGAGAAAUUGGCAGACCUUUCUCUUUGUAUUCAACAAAUUGAAACAACUCUCAAUAUUUUAGAUGCAAAGUUGUCAUCUCUCCUGGGCCUGGAAGAUGUCACAUUUGAAAUAUCUCCUUCAAGUGCCACUAAUGUCACAAGUGGGUCACAUUCUGAAGCCACUUCAGAGCAAUCACAGCAGAACAGUACACAAGACUCUGGACCACAGAAAAGUGAAGUAUCAGCAGAAAAUAUCUUAACUGUAGCCAAGGACCCAAGAUAUGCCAGAUAUCUCAAAAUGGUUCAAGUGGGAGUUUCAAUGAUGGCAAUAAGGAACAAAAUGAUAUCAGAAGGACUAGACCCAGAUCUUCUUGAGAGGCCAGGUGCUCCAGUGCCUGAUGGUGAAAGUGAAAAAACUGCAGAAGAAAGUUCAGAUAGCGAAUGAUCUUUCAGUGACUAAGCUCAGUUUUGGUAAGAAUUUCCUAUACGUAUGUAG